GCCUGGGUGGCUCAGUCGGUUGGGCAUCGGACUUUGGCUCAGGUCAUGAUCUCACUGUCCGCGGGUUCGAGCCCUGCAUCGGGCU
rfam:Felis catus isolate Cinnamon breed Abyssinian chromosome A3, whole genome shotgun sequence.